rnacentral:tRNA from 1 species
GCCCCCGUAGUUCAAUGGAUAGAACACUGGACUUCUAAGCCAGUUAUGGAGGUUCGAUUCCUCCCGGGGGCACAA